rnacentral:rRNA from 1 species
GAUGAACGCUAGCUACAGGCUUAACACAUGCAAGUCGAGGGGCAGCAUGGUCUUAGCUUGCUAAGACUGAUGGCGACCGGCGCACGGGUGAGUAACACGUAUCCAACCUGCCGUCUACUCUUGGACAGCCUUCUGAAAGGAAGAUUAAUACAAGAUGGCAUCAUGAGUCCGCAUGUUCACAUGAUUAAAGGUAUUCCGGUAGACGAUGGGGAUGCGUUCCAUUAGAUAGUAGGCGGGUAACGGCCCACCUAGUCUUCGAUGGAUAGGGGUUCUGAGAGGAAGGUCCCCCACAUUGGAACUGAGACACGGUCCAAACUCCUACGGGAGGCAGCAGUGAGGAAUAUUGGUCAAUGGACGAGAGUCUGAACCAGCCAAGUAGCGUGAAGGAUGAAGGUCCUACGGAUUGUAAAACUUCUUUUAAUAAGGGAAUAAAAACCUCCCAACGUGUGGGAGCUUGUAUGUACCUUAUGAAUAAGGACCGGCUAAUUCCGUGCCAG